GACGAACCGUGCGAACGUUAUUCGGAAUCACUGGGCUUAAAGGGCGCGUAGGCGGGUCACCGAGUCCGGGGUGAAAUCCCACGGCCCAACCGUGGAAGUGCCUUGGAUACUGGUGACCUCGAGGGGGGUAGGGGCGUGCGGAACUCAGGGUGGAGCGGUGAAAUGCGUAGAUAUCCUGAGGAACACCGGUGGCGAAAGCGGCGCGCUGGACCCCUUCUGACGCUGAGGCGCGAAAGCCAGGGGAGCAAACGGG
rnacentral:rRNA from 1 species